AGCUUUGCACAGUAGCGGUACCAUAACCAAUGAGGUUUACCCAAGGUGCAAUUAUUGCUAAUUGAAAACUUUUCCCAAUACUCCACCGUGUCAACUUGAAAUACAGUCAGCACUGGCAAUUUUUUAAAAAAAUUAUUUU